GACGAACGCUGGCGGCGUGCCUAAUACAUGCAAGUCGAGCGCAGGAAACUGACGGAACUCUUCGGAGGGAAGGCAGUGGAAUGAGCGGCGGACGGGUGAGUAACACGUAAGGAACCUGCCUCAAGGAUUGGGAUAACUCCGAGAAAUCGGAGCUAAUACCGGAUAGUUCAACGGACCGCAUGGUCCGCUGAUGAAAGGCGCUCCGGCGUCACCUUGAGAUGGCCUUGCGGUGCAUUAGCUAGUUGGUGGGGUAACGGCCCACCAAGGCGCACGAUGCAUAGCCGACCUGAGAGGGUGAUCGGCCACACUGGGACUGAGACACGGCCCAGACUCCUACGGGAGGCAGCAGUAGGGAAUCUUCCACAAUGGACGAAAGUCUGAUGGAGCAACGCCGCGUGAGUGAUGAAGGUUUUCGGAUCGUAAAACUCUGUUGUAAGGGAAGAACACGUACGAGAGGAAAUGCUCGUACCUUGACGGUACCUUACGAGAAAGCCACGGCUAACUACGUGCCAGCAGCAGCCGCCG
rnacentral:rRNA from 1 species